CUCGAUUAAAGCUACAUGUUUUUAAGUCUUUCUGAAACUACUUGUUGGUGUUAAUUAAAAUGCAACUAAUUAAGUAUCAUCGUCAAGGUGAACUGGUUACGUCCUGAUGAUGAGUUGGUUAACACCAUGGAGAAGAAGAGGAAGAAGAAGUCUUCAGGUACCUAAUUAAGAAAAAAAGAGAAAAGAAGAGGAGGAAAAACACGCAAGAGGCUGCCUCGGGCGUGUUGAGGUCAAACGAGCUGCACUUUCGCUGAAGAUGCCUCGGGAUUGACUCAGAGUUCACCAGGGACAAAGAACACGUAUUCGUAGAUGGGAGGCCAAGGACAGGUGACAGUCGUCUGCAAACAACAACAUUUCUUUUCUUUCUUGUCUCUAAAGUUUUCCUCUAUUUGUUUUCCUUUGUGGUGCUGCUGCUGGAGAGAGAAUCAUCCUAUCAUCUCCCACUCUUUGAUAAAAACUGCCACCUUUUUUUUCAUGCCAGCAUGUGGAUAUGUAGCUUAAUUCAGCCGGUUAGUCGACCUAAUCUUAAAACCGACUUGGUGCCACCAAGACUGGAAAAUGGAAUAAACAGCCACAAAUCCGUUUUUUUUUUUUUU